rnacentral:lncRNA from 10 species
CUCCUCCUCCCAGCCUGCCCCAGGCACUUUUCUGAGUGACUUCAAAAUCUCUUAGCUUAGUCCUGUUAGGAGUGGCGUCUCUGGGAACCUGGACUUCUGGUCUGUCAGUGUCCGGUCUGGAGUAGUUUUGAAAUCCAGCAGCAUGCAACCACAUUGAAAAACAGCAGGCUAGCAGCCACAAGAGGGGGCAGAACAAGGUUGGAGGACCUCCCAAGUUCAUUCCCACAGAAUUGUUAUUAUUUGACCUGUCUGGUGGUUUCUUAGAAGACUCCACUUUCAAGGCUGUCUUUAUUUUACCAGAAUCUGAGCUUACCCAGUGUGAAUAGCUUUUUACUUGGAGGUGUUUGUCAAAAACAAUUAGAGGCAAUUAUUAAAUCAUGUUGCUGGAAGUGGCAGAUGACAGCUGGGACAAACAAUAGGUUAACCAAAAAGCAUAAAAGGAAAAGCUGGGGAAUGAGACAUCCACAGUGGGCUUUGAAAAGCUCCUAGAUAUCUCUGGGAAUCUAACAGACCAUGAGCAUGCACAGGGCUGUGCCCAGGGUUCUACACAUGCUCAGGAAAGACUCGAGACUGCUGUAAGCUUUCAUCUCUGCCUAACUUUGAGGCUCUGUGCAAAUAAGAAGGAAAGGCUACUAUAGAGUUGUGAACUACCCGCCUGAGUGUUGGAGGCAUGCCCCAAAACACAUACAGAGUCCCUUGGCAAAGACUGGGAGAACGAUUGGAUCCAGGAACCUAGGGAAUUUUCUGUCUAAUCAUUAGCUGACCUCUAGGCUAACCUAGCAGAGACUUCAGUGGCCACACACAACAAAGAAUAUGAAUUUUACAGAAUUAGUUUAGAAAAGUCACUAAACAAGCAACAAUAAUAAAGAGUAACAACCACAAACCCUAGAACAGGAGAUAAUCUCCUGUUCUCCAACCACAAUGGAACAGAAUUAGAAACCAAUAACAGAAGGAAAACUGGAAAAUUCACGAAUACAUGGGAAAUGAAAUAACAUACUCCUAAAUAAAGGGUCAAAGAAGAAAGCACAAAAAAAUUAGAAAAUACUUUGAGAUGAAUCAAAAAAAUGUAACACACUAAAGCUUAUGGGAUAUAGUGAAAACAGUACUUAGGAAUGCAUAGCCGU